rnacentral:rRNA from 1 species
UACGUAGGGGGCGAGCGUUGUCCGGAUUCAUUGGGCGUAAAGAGCUCGUAGGCGGUUUGGCAAGUCGGGUGUGAAAUCUCCGGGCUCAACUCGGAGAGGCCACUCGAUACUGCUAUGACUAGAGUCCGGUAGGGGACUAUGGAAUUCCUGGUGUAGCGGUGAAAUGCGCAGAUAUCAGGAAGAACACCAAUGGCGAAAGCAGCUUUCUGGGACGGUACUGACGCUGAGACGCGAAAGCGUGGGGAGCGAACAGG